CAAUUGGAAAUUUUUCUGUUCUAAGAGUAUUGGUGAUGAAGAAAAACAAUUUUACAGGGAAUAUUCCUUCAGCCAUAGGCCAACUAAUAUACCUUCAAAUCUUGCUCCUUUCUUCCAAUCAUUUCUCAGGUUUAAUUCCACACACAAUUGUAUCAUUGCAAGAAAUGGCAAUAGAAGACCAAGAUGGUAUUGUAUUGUCCAAUUUUUAUUAUGGGCAAAUAUAUCGGGAUGGAUUGGAUAUGACUUCAAAGGGUAGAGAAGAGCACUACACAUAUAUUCUUUCCACUCUCACAGCCAUAGAUCUAUCAAACAAUGAAUUGGAUGGAGGAAUUCCUUUUGAUUUUGGGAAUUUAAAGGGGUUAAGGUUUGUGAACCUUUCAAUGAACAAUUUGAAUGGGACCAUUCCAAGUAGUUUGGGAGAAAUGGGCCAGCUAGAGUCAUUAGACCUUUCAAGAAAUAAAUUUUCUGGAAAAAUCCCUAUGGAGUUUACAUCUCUUAGCUCUUUAGGUUUCCUAAAUUUAUCAAACAACCACCUUUCAGGAAGUAUACCCCAAGGAACACAGAUGAGUACAUUUGGAGAAUCCUCUUAUUCAGAAAAUUCUAAUUUAUGGGGGUGUCCCCUACCCAAAAAUUGUUCUUGGCCACAAUAUAUUCCUCGUCCUCCUAAAGUUUCAAUUAACAAAGAAAAGAAAAACACUAAAUAUCCUUUGUAUGGAAUAGCAUUAGGAUUGUCAUAUGGAGUAGCAUUUGGAGGAAUAGUGUCAUUGAUCUUGAUAAAAAUGAGUUGGAGAAGGAAAUAUUUCAGUAAAGUUGAUGCAAUCCUUAAAAUUGUGUUUCCUUGGAUGAAGGACUUGACACUAUAAAAGGAUACAUCUAUAAAAGACGGAGGACCUGGUACUAUAAAGGGGCACAUCUAUAAAAGGACUAUAAUUUUGCUAAGGAAGGCUUUUUGGUGUAUUCUCCUUAUUGAAGACAAAAACAAAAAUAAUGGUGGCUUCAUCAAGCAUAUUAUUGUAUAUAGUUUAAUUGUUAUGCUAAAUCCAUAUAAAAAUUAUGUUUCCAUGGAUGAAGGACCCGACACUAUAAAAAGGAUACAUCUAUAAAAGAUAUGUGUACUAGACUUUUUUUUGCGAAAGAAGGCUUUUUGGUGCACUCUCCUUAUUGAAGACAAAAACAUAUUAUUGGUGGUUUCACCCAACAUAUUGUUGUAUAUAGUUUAAUUAUUAUGCUAAAUUAAGAUAAAAAUUGUGUUUCCAUAGAUGAAGGACCUGACACUAUAAAGGGAUACAUCUAUAAAAGGCGAGUUAUUUUUUUUC